rnacentral:rRNA from 1 species
AUUGAACGCUGGCGGCAUGCCUUACACAUGCAAGUCGAACGGUAACGGGCCUUCGGGUGCCGACGAGUGGCGAACGGGUGAGUAAUACAUCGGAACGUGCCCGAUCGUGGGGGAUAACGAGGCGAAAGCUUUGCUAAUACCGCAUGCGAUCUACGGAUGAAAGCAGGGGACCGCAAGGCCUUGCGCGGACGGAGCGGCCGAUGGCAGAUUAGGUAGUUGGUGGGAUAAAAGCUUACCAAGCCGACGAUCUGUAGCUGGUCUGAGAGGAUGAUCAGCCACACUGGGACUGAGACACGGCCCAGACUCCUACGGGAGGCAGCAGUGGGGAAUUUUGGACAAUGGGCGCAAGCCUGAUCCAGCCAUGCCGCGUGCAGGAUGAAGGCCUUCGGGUUGUAAACUGCUUUUGUACGGAACGAAAAGCCUUCUUUUAAUACAGGAGGGUCAUGACGGUACCGUAAGAAUAAGCACCGGCUAACUACGUG